CCUACGGGGGGCAGCAGUAGGGAAUAUUGGACAAUGGGCGCAGGCCUGAUCCAGCCAUCCCGCGUGAAGGAUUAAGGCCCUCUGGGUUGUAAACUUCUUUUCUUUGGGAAUAAAAACUCCGAUUCAUCGGAGCUUGAAGGUACCAGAGUAAUAAGCACCGGCUAACUCCGUGCCAGCAGCCGCGGUAAUACGGAGGGUGCAAGAUUUAUCCGGAUUCACUGGGUUUAAGGUGUCCGUAUAAGUCUUUGGUGAAAGCCCGGAGCUCAACUACGGAACUGCCAUUGAUACUGCUUAGCUUGAAUCAGGUCGAGGUGGAUGGAAUAUUACAUGUAGCGGUGAAAUGCUUAGAUAUGUAAUAGAACACCGAUUGCGAAGGCAGUUCACUAGGCCUGUAUUGACACUGAGGCACGAAAGCGUGGGGAUCAAACAGGAUUAGAUACCCCUGUAGUC
rnacentral:rRNA from 1 species